UCUUAUGUUUAAAAGAAAGAAAGAAAACUGCAGGAACUUUCAGGAAAUGAAAUUUCUUUACGUAUAACCUUAUUGAGGUACCUUUUCCAAUUCAUCUACGAACUUAAAUACAUCUUUGUUUCCUGUCAUAUAAAGAGUCCGUGAGAUAGACAAGCAUUCGUCUACCAGUAGAAUUAAUAUACAUGACAUAUACAUGAAAAAUUACCGUUAACAAAUUUAUUCUGGGAUAUCUGUCAAAACUUAUGAGACAUUCUAAAGCAGAAUUAUAAAUUGUGGACCAGUUAUCUUUAUUCAGAAUGGCUCCACCAUCAUCGAGACAAAUAUAAAGACACUCUUCGUCAUUCGAGUUUGUUACAUUACUGCAAUAAAAUAAUAAAAAAGUAUAUACACGACAAAAAUGGAAAUGUAGAAAAGGUAUGAGUAAUUGAAAUUAUAAUUAGGUUAACCAUUUUGGGUUCCAUCUUAAUAACCAUUCAUUUGGAUAGGUAACGCCCAGGCCCGGAACAACACGAUCAGAUAUAAGAUCACAAUAUAUGCCAAGUCUUCUUGCAACGCUCUGAAAUAUGACUAUCAGCGGUAUUGUCGAAAGAGAUCUGAUUUCAAAGAAUGUACAACUGCGUCAAAGAUAUUAUUGUAUUUCCACCUCGAGAACUGUUCGCGAGAUGCCGAGAAUAUUGGAUGCUUGGGCUUCUCAACUUUAAGGCGCUUUAUCACCUGUUGUGCGAUAUUAUCCAGAUCCAUAUCUAUAUGCGAGCAAGAG